UUACUUGUCCUUUGCUUUUCCUUUCUGUAGUUUCUCCUAGGAGGUACUUGAUUCCAUGGGCCAUGGAUGGACCCAUCGUCACUGACAAUAGGAGUAUUUCCAACACCAUCCCAUUAAUUGUCUCUUCUUUUUGAACCUUAUCUUUCAAUCCCAUAUUCUCAUUCUGAAACAUCUCCGAGUCAAGUUCCAGAUCCAUAAGUGGGCAUUGUUCUUUUUUGUGGCCAAACUUCCCACAUUUAUAACAGAUUUCUGGUAAGCCUUCAUAUUGAAUAAAAUACCAAGUAUUGUCAAUCUGAACAUAUGCCUCCAAAGGCUUAGUCAAAUCUAAUUCAACACACAUCCUGGCAAAUUUUUCACGUGUAGAAGAAUAUGUGUGUGAAUCAACUUUUAGUAGAGUCUCUAUUAAAUUACCCACUCUCUUAAUAGCUCUCUUAUCAAACUACUCCACAUGCAUUCCUGAUACUCGAACCCAC
rnacentral:lncRNA from 1 species